rnacentral:tRNA from 1 species
GUGUGGCUCAGUGGAAGAGCCUCCGCUCCGCAUGCAGAAGGUCCUGGGUUCAAUCCCAGCAUCACCG